rnacentral:rRNA from 1 species
GAUGAACGCUGGCGGCGUGCCUAAUACAUGCAAGUCGAGCGAACAGACGAGGAGCUUGCUCCUCUGACGUUAGCGGCGGACGGGUGAGUAACACGUGGAUAACCUACCUAUAAGACUGGGAUAACUUCGGGAAACCGGAGCUAAUACCGGAUAAUAUAUUGAACCGCAGGGUUCAAUAGUGAAAGACGGUUUUGCUGUCACUUAUAGAUGGAUCCGCGCUGCAUUAGCUAGUUGGUAAGGUAACGGCUUACCAAGGCAACGAUGCGUAGCCGACCUGAGAGGGUGAUCGGCCACACUGGAACUGAGACACGGUCCAGACUCCUACGGGAGGCAGCAGUAGGGAAUCUUCCGCAAUGGGCGAAAGCCUGACGGAGCAACGCCGCGUGAGUGAUGAAGGUCUUCGGAUCGUAAAACUCUGUUAUUAGGGAAGAACAAAUGUGUAAGUAACUAUGCACGUCUUGACGGUACCUAAUCAGAAAGCCACGGCUAACUACGUG